UGGGGAAUAUUGCACAAUGGGGGAAACCCUGAUGCAGCGACGCCGCGUGAACGAAGAAGGUAUUCGUAUUGUAAAGUUCUGUCCUAUGGGAAGAUAAUGACAGUACCAUAGAAGAAAGCUCCGGCUAAAUACGUGCCAGCAGCCGCGGUAAUACGUAGGUGGCAAGCGUUGUCCGGAUUUAUUGGGCGUAAAGCGAGCGCAGGCGGUCAAUUAAGUCUGAUGUGAAAGCCCCCGGCUCAACCGGGGAGGGUCAUUGGAAACUGGUUGACUUGAGUGCAGAAGAGGAGAGUGGAAUUCCAUGUGUAGCGGUGAAAUGCGUAGAUAUAUGGAGGAACACCAGUGGCGAAGGCGACUCUCUGGUCUGUAACUGACGCUGAGGCUCGAAAGCGUGGGUAGCAAACAGG
rnacentral:rRNA from 1 species